GAUUUUUUCAUGGUUGACACCUCGAUGACAUCCAAACUGGUGGAGCAAGAAGGAAUCCAUGGCACUGAGAAAAUGGCAAUCUACUGAAAGAGAAACCAGGAGAGCAGCUUUGAGCAAGGAGGACAAGCAGGCAGAUGGGGCUUUCCUGGAGAGACACCAGCAGAGAGCAGAUCUGCAGGUUGGGAUGGGCUUUGUGAUGAACACCUAGUUGCUCUCUGCCUAUGAGAGGACCUUAGAGAAGAGUGGAGCAGCAUUUCAAUUAAAUAGCAAUCUGUUUUUCCGAGGACUAAACAAAUAAGAAGCUUCAACAAAAAAAGGUGUUUUUGCCAGUAAUUGCUCAAGUGGCCUCAAGAUGAACUCUUUCCUUUUAGCUUUCUGACCACUCUGGACUAAGUAGCAGGUGUCUCUGCCACACAACAAGAAGAAAUAGAUAUUUUGCCAUAAACUCAUGUCCAAGAGUGCUUCAGAUCUUUGAGCUUCAUGAGUGUCCUCCUUAGGAAAGAACUAUGAACAACUCUGAAGGCAAUAUGGGC
ensembl:lncRNA